rnacentral:rRNA from 1 species
CACAAGCGGUGGAUGAUGUGGUUUAAUUCGAUGCAACGCGAAAAACCUUACCCACCUUUGACAUGUACGGAAUCCUUUAGAGAUAGAGGAGUGCUCGAAAGAGAACCUGCACACAGGUGCUGCAUGGCUGUCGUCAGCUCGUGUCGUGAGAUGUUGGGUUAAGUCCCGCAACGAGCGCAACCCUUGCCAUUAGUUGCUACGAAAGGGCACUCUAAUGGGACUGCCGGUGACAAACCGGAGGAAGGUGGGGAUGACGUCAAGUCCUCAUGGCCCUUAUAGGUGGGGCUACACACGUCAUACAAUGGCCGGUACAGAGGGUAGCCAACCCGCGAGGGGGAGCCAAUCCCACAAAGCCGGUCGUAGUCCGGAUCGCAGUCUGCAACUCGACUGCGUGAAGUCGGAAUCGCUAGUAAUCGCGGAUCAGCAUGUCGCGGUGAAUACGUUCCCGGGUCUU